CCCUGACCUGAUCCGAUCCGUUUUCGUUCACUUUGGGGGUGUCCCGACGGGCGGGGCUCCAAGGAGGCUUUGAUGCUGGAUCUCAAGCUCGUUCAAUUGCUGCUCGCGGUCCAUCUCAAUGAUAAGAGGCACAGCCAGGAUUAAGAAGGCGGUUCCCGCAAUCCACGCGGCCUUGCCGGUGCUGCGGAGAAGCUUCUUCGUAACGAAAACGGCGUCGCAUGCAGCUUGCUUGCCUUUAGAGACGAUUUCGGAGUUGGUGAGUUUGGCGAGGAUAGUGGGCUCUGAAUGCGGCUUUGAGCCCCGCCUCGCUGGCAGCGACACCCCGCCUUUUCGGGACUGGGAGGACAUGGGCGUUUACUG
rnacentral:misc_RNA from 1 species